UCGCGGCCCGGUACCAAACGACUCACGGACCGGUACCGGUCCACGGCCCGGGGAUUGGGGACCGCUGCUUUACAGCAUUCAUCAUUUUAUGCCACCAGAAGCGGAGAUUCACUCCUGGAUGAAAGUUGCUUUCAGCCACCAGCUGCUUCUCAAACAGGCCAACAUCUUCAUGCCUCGGCGUUCUAUGGCAGAGAGGAUAAAGGUCACCAUGAAGGUCACAGAAAAAGAUCCAGCGAGGGAGGUGACUCAGCUGCAUGUCUGCGUGGGAGGGAAGAAAGCUAAGAAGGACUGUGAACAAGAAGAAGAAAACAGAAUUAUGAAAAGGAGGGAGGCCGCUUUCCAACACCACAUGUGGCGGUUCCGGCCCGUGGAAUCGAUAGGCUGGGAGCUGGAGGGGAGGCUUCCCGGAGCCUGCAGCCAACAGUUGCUGAGGGGGGGAUAUGGAGAGAGUGGAGAGGAGAGGAGAGUGGAGUGGAGUGGAGCGGGAACUAUUUUUUGCACUGCUUGACUAAAUAUGGUCAGGGAGGUGGUGAGACAAGACACAGGAGCAGCCCGGCAAAACGGGGCCAAGACAUGUUUCGAAUGCUUCUCUUCCCACAAAGUGCUAACCGUUUAGCGUAGCCCUCCACGACGUGGAGCCACUGGUCAGUUGGCCCCUUGCCCCCAACUUGCUGCCACUGUAUUCUUCCUCCUAACUGCAGCAGCAUCUCAAUUUGAUCCACUCGCCACACAAAGGUGACCCUUGCAAUGCACUGGAAUGUAUACGCUGUGAUAUUGCAACAUCCUCCACCUCUCGUCUCCGACAAUGCUAAUCAAACUUGCAUGGAUCACAAGCAACUAUUAAAAGUACAGCUGUCUUCUACCGCAGAGGCACAGCCUGCUGCUCUUCUUCUUCUUUCAAUUUUUUAUUUAUUUUUGUAAAUACCUCCAUCCCAUUUCCGCUUUCAAACAUUCAGUAAACUCCCCUCAUCCAACCUGCUGUGUGUAAAGUUCCACUGAAUAAUAAAAGCGCAUUUUAGGAGCAGAAUAAAGCUCUGGGGCUGCGCUUGUGUCGAUGGAAUAAGAAAAAGGCAGGGUGGGAGUACGGUUGGUACACUUUCUGCCUCAUCCACCGAUCAGGGCAUCCUCCCAGCUCUUCCCCCUCAGAAUGCACAUGAUGGAGAGAAGAGUGCUGCAGUUUUUUUUUUUUCGCUCCACCCCUCCUUUUCUCGCUCUUCUCCCCCUUUUUUUUUCUUCCUCUCAAAUAGCAUCUCUUCAUGUCAGCUCUACGUCUUCCUCCUCUAAAGGUAUGACUUGUGUUUGUGUGGGAAUGUGCGUGCAUGUGUGUAUGCCCGCUGCUCCCCCUCCCUGACUCUGGCACUCAACCCGCCCCGCCAACACCCUCCUCCUCCCCCCAAUCAUAGAAGCUGAUUCAGCGAGUCAGGCGUGCACCCGGCACACACGAUGGCUGCAGCAGCUGGAGCGCUCUCUAGGUCAUUAUGGCUCUCUUCACUACGGGAAGAAGGAAGAGAGGAAAGGGGAAGAGAGGAGGAGCGGCUCAGAUAAGAAACUGAUCUGACAGGUAAUAUAUGCUCUUCCAUCGCUUUUGGACGGAGUUUACCCCUGACGGGCCUUGAUGUCUCCCCCGUCCUGUCUCUCUUUGCGCUCUCUUCUUCGGAUGCAAUCAGUUAUUAACCGCAUGGUUUGCCUGUGAGACGUGUAGUCGAAAGGGGGAGAGGACUGUGCUGUUCUGCAGCAGCAGCAGCAGCAGCAGCACUGGGACAGAACUUAACCAGAGAACACCUUUGGGCUUUUUUCCCUCCCCUUCUCCUUCUCUUGUUCUUCUUGUCAUUAGGAAAAGGGAGGAAAAAAAUCAAGGCUUUGUAAAAAGAAAAAGUACGGAGAGGAAGAGGAUGCAGGAAGAGGUGAAACAGGGCUGGGGAGUUGCUGUGGUCCACAUGGAUUUUAGCCCUUUUUUUUCCUCCCCCCCACACUCUCCACUCUAUCUCUCUCAUCUUUUUCUUUCUCUCUCCCUCCCUCCCUUCCUUGUCUUGCUCUCUCUCCCUCUCUUGUGUUCCUGGCACUGGCCGGACAUGCUGCAGCAGCACAGCUCUUUGGCUCAUUAGGCUUCAUGGUUGCAGCCCUGCCGCUACCUAAUGACGGACUCGUUAACUCAGACCUGCACUGGUGUGGAGACGUUUCCUUAUCCACAGUUCGCCCUCUGCAUCCGACAGCUUCCAAGAUGCUUUUUUUUUUUUUUGUCUUCAUGACUAAAGGAUACUAAAUUGCUGGGACUUUUGAAGUGUCUUUUUGGUUCCUGUUUUUGUUUUUUGAUGUUUUUUUCUUUUUUUAAUACCAAUUGUUAACUAAACAGAGGGCGGGGGUGGUCACUGCCUUUCUUAAUUGAUAGGAGGUAAGUUUGAGGAUGCGUCGCACUCUUUGAGACCAAGGUUGACUGGCUGUGGCGGAAGAGUGGAAUUGUGACCAGAGGAAUGACGAAGCAUCAGAAUAAUGAACAGCGGGCAGGUCAUGAGUUCUGAAAAGGAGGAAAAGCGGAUUGACAGCACACAGCUGUGAGAAGUGUAUUAACACAGAUGUGGGGGGAAGGAGGGGGAAUGGUGGGAGGGGAUAUUGGGCAGCAAUGGCUGGCUGAGUAGAUGUGUGUCACUGGCUGAACCCAGAGCACUUAGGGUAGUAACCCAGUUUCUUCUCUCUCCCCCUCUCUCUCUCUUUUUGUAGCAGAUUGGUGUAGGUUAGGCAGGGCAUGCAGGGCACACAAUACUGCAGUGCUAUCGCCAAAACCAGAACAGACACAACAACCACUGGGCUAAUUUGCUGGUUCACGUCUCCCCAACCUCCAUCGUGCCCUGUGUAGGAAGGAAUUUCACUCCCUCUCACUCUCUCUCGGGCAGCUGUGACAUUUCCUAAGCAGGACGUCACACCUUUAGGACCAGGCUCAUCCACCUGCCCAACCCCAUCUUCGUGCUGAGAACAACAGUCACCUCCACUUACACCUACCCUCAUUACUAUUCCAAACGCUUCAACUGCAAAAACAUUGCACCACUUUUCCCAUUUAUUCAGUCCUCCUUGGCCACCUUAGUCUCCAAAUUCACACCUAAGCUGGUCUCCCCUAAUCCAUUUUCUGUUUUUGCACCCACUGCCUCAGCAUUCAGCCUGCCGGCUAGCUUAGCGUGGUUGGAGGCAGUGUCGACUUGUGGAAUGUGCUGGUCCGGGGCAAAGAUUCAUUAGAGACUUGCUGUACAAUUCUCACCACCAUGCAAAUGGUUAUUGAUCUGGUCCACCCGGCAAUAAAACAGCUGGUUCCACUGUAAACACAGACAAGUGAGGUUUGAUCAGAGGGAAAGGGGGACGCAAGAACAGUCUAUGAGUGGUAAAGGGAAUGAUUAACAGAGAGAGAGAGAGAGGGAGAGAGAGAGAGAGGGAGAGACAGAGAGGUGGUGAUGACGGUGUGUGUGUGUGUGUGUGUGUGUGUGUGUGUUGGGGGGGGACCAGGACCAAUCCACAAGUGCUGAGUGGGCAUUAGCGCCUUCAUGUGACCUAUGGCCUGCCUCUGUGCCUAAAGCCCAAAUCCUGCUCACAAUAGCUUCCUGUUCAACUUGGAUCACCCUCAUUUUCAAACAUCAGCAAGCGCUCCAGUUAGCCACUGGGGACGUUGCUGACACCAGAGAGACAAGGGACAGGAGAGAGAGGGGGGACGGUACAUAUCAGUACGUGAGAGGCGGUUAAAGGGGGAAAGGACACCGAAAGCGGGGCGGGAGGUGUAAUAAGAGAACGAAAUGAUGGUGUGGAGGAGAGGAAGCGAGGGUCUAGUGGGUGGAGACAAGUGAUAUGUUUAGUAUGUCAGCGGGACCGCUCAGCUUAUAGGUGCACCCCUGUUCCCAGGACACAGCAAAUGAUCGUCAUACGAGAGCGAGCGCACCUUACAACACUUUUUUUUCCUUUUCCCCCCCAAGGAGAAAACUCGUAUCUACUCAGCUGCUGCUUUUUUUUUUUUUUUUUUUUUAACCUCCAACCACUUAAAUCUAACUCCUCAACAUUUUUCCUGGACAGAGAAAAAGGCCACCUUUUGACUGCCUUAAAAAAAAGCAAGAAAAAAAAAGCUGUAUUCCUCCCUCUGAGCCUCCUGGUUUCUCCCAGUUGCCUGGAGGACAGCAGGGGUCACUGGGACAGUCGACUAUGGUAUGGACUCUAAAACUUCUGUUAUGUUCAGGGGCGGGGGGACUGGCUGUUCAGCCUUACAUGGCAACCAAAAGGAAAGCCUUGAGUGUUGAACUGAAUUUACACUCAAAGUCACCUUACAGUGCAGACUACCAUACUUGGGAGAGAGAGAACGGUGAGGAAAAAUGUUCUGCUCCUAACUUCCUGACCUUGGAAAGAGGUGAGAAAAUUUCAUAUCUAAGAUUACCUCCUUGGUGCACAUACUUCUUUAUGUACCCAUAUGAACAUAUGAUAGCUAUGGAAUGUAAAGAAGUAUGUAUUCUUGGUGAGGUUCAAGCCCUCGUUCUGGAAAACUGUUGUGCAGCACUGUCACAGGAUACGUUUAUGCUUUGUGUCAGAUGGUGAAAAGAAAAAUAGCAAACAAAGGUAAAAGUGAGGCAGGAAAAGAGUGAAUUAAUCUAAGUGGUGAGGCUCAUACAUUAGCUAUACUGUCUCUGGGCAGUCUCACUGCAGCAAUACUCGCUGUAGGGAAGUUUCUGCUUUCUCAAACUGGCUGACUUGGCCAAUAAAAAUCUCUCAUCCAAGAUACGUUAACAAUUCAUUUGACAAUUACUUGGCAUAAAAUGAUUGCAACCAUGUUUUAGGCUCUGACAGCAACCUACACCAGCUAUGAGCAGCUGCCUUGUGAGAGUGUCAUAUGAAUAGAGCUUCCUUUCAUUAUUGAGUGAUUUUGCUGCAUUACAGCCCUUGAAAUUCAGCCAGCUGCAACUUAGCACCAACUUCAGCGAGCAGCGAGUGGUAUGCUAGAGCUGUUGGACCAUUAAUACCAUAAUCUUUUCCAGUGCUGCAGCACAGUUCAAGUGGGGAAAGAAAGCAAGGUGAAUUGAACCAGCCGCCUGCUACGGUUGCUGGCUGUUUAAAAAUAAAUAAUAAUAAUUAAAAAAAACAACCAAACGAAAAAAAAAAAUAUGAAAGAGCGGUAAAUUGUUGCUGAGAAGGCAGAAUGAACUGAGGCCGCUAUUGCUGCUGUCACAACCCGGCUCUAACCUAUUGCAGUACCAUAUAGCUUCCGAGUUGACAACCUUGUGUGUUUAACUAUGGCUGCCCUUCCUUUAUGCUAGUGCCCUUAUCCACAUCCCCACCCCACAUCAACCCCGCUGCCCCGUUCUCCCCUCCCUUUCUCUGAUUUCUGUGCUCUUUGUUCACGUUUGCUAUGCUUGCCAAAUGCUUUGCUGGGCUGCAUGGCAGCCAGAUUAGACCAUCAAAAAGUGACAAUGCAGGAUCAGGGUCAACUCUGGCCUGUCAGCUGAUUCCAAUUGUCAACUGUUUCAAACAAAUAAAGGCAACAGAACAUAGGCAGAAGCGCAGUGAGAGAAAUGAAGCGAGGAGGGGGAAGAGGGAGGCGGGGAGUCGUUUGCAUGGAGAGCUAUUCAUAUCUAACACUCUCACCUAUUCUGACCCCCGCUGCAGCCCGUGUCUGGAUCAUAUAUAAGGCUUGUACCAAUUUUAGCACAGAUUUACCACCCCACUUUAAUAUACACAAUUCUCCCUCAUUUGGCUCCAGAUUUAAAAAAAAAAAAAAAAAAAAGA